GCGUCGAUCCUGGGUUGGAGGAGGUGGCGGCCGCUGAGGCUGCGGCGUGAAGACGGCGGGCAUGGUGGGGCGGGAGAAAGAGCUCUCUAUACACUUUGUUCCCGGGAGCUGCCGGCUGGUGGAGGAGGAAGUUAACAUCCCUAAUAGGAGGGUUCUGGUUACUGGUGCCACUGGGCUUCUUGGCAGAGCUGUACACAAAGAAUUUCAGCAGAAUAAUUGGCAUGCUGUUGGCUGUGGUUUUAGAAGAGCAAGACCAAAAUUUGAACAGGUUAAUCUAUUGGAUUCUAAUGCAGUUCAUCACAUCAUUCAUGAUUUUCAGGUAUGAUUUAGGUUAUUUUAACAUAUACAUGAACAAUAUUAAGAAUUGUCUCGAUGAUACAGAAACUAUCCUUGCUCUCAAGGAAACUACUAUGCUUGAAAGCUCUAAAGCUGUAUUAUGCAGUAGCAUUUUUUUCAUUUAGCGUGACAUGGUAUAUGUAAACCUUAAAGUUAAAUUUUGAUACGUUGACAAAGACAAAUAUGAAGCAUUUUAUAAAAUGCUUAUGUUUAUAGAGUGCCUUCUAAGUAACACUUUCUCUGCAAAUGGUUUUCAAAUGUUACUGUAAACCUCACAACACUGCAAAAUAGUUAUUUUCAUUUUAGAGCUGAGGAAGCAGGCUCAGAGAGGUUUUUGGUAUCAUUGAUACUAUUCUCCCUUUGACAUGGAUUUAUUAGAUAUUUAAAUCAUGUUAAUUGCAUAAAUGAUACCUCUUUCCUCCUGUCCAAGUUGGGGGAUAAAACUUGUUUUGAUUUAGAAACACUUCUGUUUUGUUCUUGUUUUUGAGACGUAAUCUUGCUUUGUUGCCCAGGCUGGAGUGCAGUGGUGCAGUUGAGCUCACUGCAGCCUCCGCCUCCCAGGGUUCAAGCAAUUCUCCUGCCUCAGCUUCCUGAGUACCUGAGACUACAGGCAUGCACAAGCACACCUGGCUAAUUGUUGUAUUUCUAGUAGAGAUGGGGUUUCACCAUGUUGGCCAGGCUGGUCUUGAACUCCUGACCUCAAGUGAUCCGCCCACCUCAGCCUUCCAAAGUGCUGGGAUUACAGAUUUGAGCCACCGCGCCCAGCCUAGAAACAUGGUUGUUUUAUUUUCAGACAGGGUCUCACUCUGUAGCUCAGGGUGAAGUACUGUAGAUCGAUCACAGUCCACUGUAGCCUUGAAUUCCUUGGCUCAAGUGAUCCUUCUGCCUCGGCCUCCGCAGAGUUAGAACUACAGGCUCAUGCCACCACGACUGGCUAAUUUUUAAAUUUUUUUGUAGAGAUUGAGUACCACUACGUUGCCCAGUCUUAUCCUGAACUCCUGGCCUCAAGCAGUCUCUCACCUCAGCCUCCCAAAGUGUUGAGAUUACAUGCAUGAACCAUCACACCAGAGUAGAAAUACAGUUGUUGACAGUUUUUUUCCUGGUUUGUGUCUACAUAUUAUGAAAUACUCUUUUCAGUGCCUAUAAAUAUUUUAAGUUUGAACCUUGCGGGGAAAAGAAGCAGCAUGACAAAACUGCAUUAGAAAUUACAAUGAUUUAUUCUUAGUUGAAAGAAUGUUGACUUACUGCACAUUUUUCUCUGAAUUAACUUUAAGAAGGCUGUAAUACCUCUUUCAUUUUAUUUUGAGUUAAAAAUACGUCAAUGCUUAACUUCCAGCCCCAUGUUAUAGUACAUUGUGCAGCAGAGAGAAGACCAGAUGUUGUAGAAAAUCAGCCAGAUGCUGCCUCUCAACUUAAUGUGGAUGCUUCUGGGAAUUUAGCAAAGGAAGCAGCUGCUGUUGGAGCAUUUCUCAUCUACAUUAGCUCAGAUUAUGUAUUUGAUGGAACAAAUCCACCUUACAGAGAGGAAGACAUACCAGCUCCCCUAAAUUUGUAUGGCAAAACAAAAUUAGAUGGAGAAAAGGCUGUCCUGGAGAACAAUCUAGGAGCUGCUGUUUUGAGGAUUCCUAUUCUGUAUGGGGAAGUUGAAAAGCUCGAAGAAAGUGCUGUGACUGUUAUGUUUGAUAAAGUGCAGUUCAGCAACAAGUCAGCAAACAUGGAUCACUGGCAGCAGAGGUUCCCCACACAUGUCAAAGAUGUGGCCACUGUGUGCCGGCAGCUAGCAGAGAAGAGAAUGCUGGAUCCAUCAAUUAAGGGAACCUUUCACUGGUCUGGCAAUGAACAGAUGACUAAGUAUGAAAUGGCAUGUGCAAUUGCAGAUGCCUUCAACCUCCCCAGCAGUCACUUAAGACCUAUUACUGACAGCCCUGUCCUAGGAGCACAACGUCCAAGAAAUGCUCAGCUUGACUGCUCCAAAUUGGAGACCUUGGGCAUUGGCCAACGAACACCAUUUCGAAUUGGAAUCAAAGAAUCACUUUGGCCUUUCCUCAUUGACAAGAGAUGGAGACAAACCGUCUUUCAUUAGUUUAUUUGUGUUGGUUUUUUUUUUUUUUUAAAUGAAAAGUAUAGUAUGUGGCACUUUUUAAAGAACAAAGGAAAUAGUUUUGUAUGAGUACUUUAAUUGUGACUCUUAGGAUCUUUCAGGUAAAUGAUGCUCUUGCACUAGUGAAAUUGUCUAAAGAAACUAAAGGGCAGUCAUGCCCUGUUUGCAGUAAUUUUUCUUUUUAUCAUUUUGUUUGUCCUGGCUAAACUUGGAGUUUGAGUAUAGUAAAUUAUGAUCCUUAAAUAUUUGAGAGUCAGGAUGAAGCAGAUCUGCUGUAGACUUUUCAGAUGAAAUUGUUCAUUCUCGUAACCUCCAUGUUUUCAGGAUUUUUGAAGCUGUUGACCUUUUCAUGUUGAUUAUUUUAAAUUGUGUGAAAUAGUAUAAAAAUCAUUGGUGUUCAUUAUUUGCUUUGCCUGAGCUCAGAUCAAAAUGUUUGAAGAAAGGAACUUUAUUUUUGCAAGUUACGUACAGUUUUUAUGCUUGAGAUAUUUCAACAUGUUAUGUAUAUUGGAACUUCUACAGCUUGAUGCCUCCUGCUUUUAUAGCAGUUUAUGGGGAGCACUUGAAAGAGUGUGUGUACAUGUAUUUUUUUUCUAGGCAAACAUUGAAUGCAAACGUGUAUUUUUUUAAUAUAAAUAUAUAACUGUCCUUUUCAUCCCAUGUUGCCGCUAAGUGAUAUUUCAUAUGUGUGGUUAUACUCAUAAUAAUGGGCCUUGUAAGUCUUUUCACCAUUCAUGAAUAAUAAUAAAUAUGUACUGCUGGCAUGU
rnacentral:sRNA from 1 species